AAGAACAUAUGUAUAGUUGUUUUAAACAAAUAUAUAUAUGCAAAAAAGUGAUUGUCUUCAAGUGUCAAGACUGAGUGAUCUUUCUACUUUCUUCUCUUUAUAUUGUUCAAAAUCUUGACUGCCCCCCCAUCCCUCCCUUCCACUUUCCAUUCUUCACUCCACCCUCACUCCCCAACACCCACGCAGCCACUAGGAAGUUCUUACCAUUCUGACCUUUUUAUAUUUUUGCAAAUGCUGUUCCCUGCGCUGAGAAUACAUAUACCUGGCAAACUCUAAUCCCAAGACCCAGUUCAAACAUCACCUACUCCAGGAAGCCCCCCCAGCUCAGUUUUGGGCUCCCACAGCACUUGUGGGCAUACUUCUGUGAAGGCAUACCACACACUUUCAUUUUUCAUCCUUCAUGUCUUUAUUUAUCCAUCAAAUAUCCCCUGAGAAUCUCCUGAGGGCACUGCCACUGUACUAAUCUCUUGGGCAAAGAAUAAAGAAAGAAAUCUCUAUAUAUUUGACGAGGCCAAAGAGCAAGGCCUGGAAAUCAGAAACAGAAACAUUCAGGAAGGCAAUUUGCACAAGAAGGCAGAAGGUGUUUAGAGUCACAGAGUAACACAAGGCCAGUGGCAUCCUAUAUCUGAAUGUGCCUUGUGUGUCCCUCUCACCCCAAGUCUGUGGGCCCCUUGAGGGCAAGAGCCAGGUCUUAGUCAUAGUACAGUGCCCUGCAAGAGGUAGGUUUGUAAAAUUUGAUGAAUGAAUGAACACUGUCAGGUUCCCCUGAGUCCUAGAGGCCUCCAGGACACCGAGAAGGAUGGGCUCCAGCCUGAGGCAGCUCCAGGCCACUCACCCACAGAGGGGACAACGUGUCAGGUCACUGAGAGGCCACAGCCAGGACCUGCUUGGAUCAGUAGGGACACCAUCUGGCCUUCAGAGUCCCUGGGUAAAUGGUUUACACAACAGUGGGCCCAUGAGCUCAUACCACCCCCUCACCCCCAGAGGGGGAAAUUGAGGGCACCCGUCCCUGUAACCCAGAGGUAAGUGACCUGGAUGUGUCAGGGCUGGGGCUGAAACACAGGUCUUCAAACCUUCAAACCCCAUGUUCUUCCUACCUCACCACGCUCAACCCUGAAACAUACCUGCUCUACAGACCUUUUUCUAUCUCAUUUGUAUCCUUUUAUUACAUUCCUCUGGUGUUUCUUGAUAUCUGCUUUUUCUUUCCUUUCUAUGUCUUCUCUCCUUAGUCUGACUCCCGUCAAAGAACACCGCACUCAGACAUCGACAGCAGAAUAGCAAGGAAGGAAGUAUGGUUCCUGUCUGCCCACCCUUAGCUUGGGAUCAAGGUCGACACAGACAAAAGGGACCCAGCACUAUUGAGUGCCUUCUGUAUGCCAGGCCACUCUGCCACAUGCUCCACUUGGAUCAGGACUUCCCACAAUCCUGGAAGGAAAUAUCAUUGUCCACAUUUUAUUAAGGAGGAAAUAAGGCCCCAAGGAGGGCCAGUCACUCAGCCACUAAGGGGCUCUGCUAGGUUGCAAACAUAAGGUUGCCUCCUGCUCUCUCCAUUCUCAGAGGCCGUGUCACCAAGGAAUCCCCAUUUACAGAAUGCUUCGGGCCCGGGAGAGGAGGAUUAGGUAGAAAUAAAUCAGGAGAGAUUUCCUGAGAAAAGUCCAUUUGAAUCCAUCAACUGCUGAAUGGAUAAAUACAAUGUGUUAUAGCCACACAAUGGAAUAUUAUUCAGCCAGACAAGGAAUAAAGCACUGACACAGCUACAACAUGGAUGAACCUUGAAAAUACGAUGUUUAGUGAAAGAAGACAGUCACUAAAGACCAUAUAUUGUAUGAUUCCACUUAUAUGAAAUGUCCAGAAUAGGCAAAUCCAUGGAGACAGAAAGUAGAUUAGUGGUUUCAGGGGGCUGGGGAGAGGGGGAGACAGUGGAUGGUCGCCAAAGGUUAUGAGGUUUCUGUUUGGGGAGAUGAAAAUGUUCCAAAAUUAAUGGUGAUGAAGAUUCACAACUCUGAGCUGAAAACCAUUGAAAUCUACACUUUGGGUGAAUUGUAUGGUACAGGAACUCUCUGUCAAUCAAACUGGUUCUUAACAUGUCGGUUUGGGAAGAAGUAAGAGAGACAAGGAAAGACAGAGGGAGGCUGGUGCUCCCAGCAGAAGGACACAAGUCAGGACCAGUUGGGAGAGCGAAAAAGGGAUCUGCGUGGUGGCACCAAGUGAAAGCUUCUGGGGGGAGGGGCAGGGCAGGGUUGGAUUUGAUGUGAUUGGGAUUUCCCAGGUGGGGGCUGAGGGAUGAACUCAGCAGAAAGAAAACAGAGACCCAGAGUCACAGACUGAACUGGAAAGAGAGGACGUUGAUGGGGGAGAAUUGAGGAAUGUGCAGCUCAGGCUCCUGCCUCGGACCCCAGUGGACAUUCAUGCUCAGCGGGCCCCAAACAGAAGCCGCAACCUUGUCUCCACUCCAGCUCUGCCUCAGUUCUGCAGGCUGGAAGUCCAAGAUCAAGGUGCCAGCAGAUUUGGUGUCUGCUCCUGAUUCAUCCCACGCCACGAGGGGCCUCAUGUGCAUGCACGUGGGCACUCCAAGCUCCAACCCUGUCUCCCACAAAAGGGUGUUUUUCUGGGCUACUCCAUAGGCAUAAAGUUGUGAACAAUUUGUAGUGUGCUCUGUCCUCAGGACAGAUCUAGAGAAGAUGCCUGCAUGGUCCUGGAAAUGGACUUUGAGCUAUUUGGGCAAGGAAUUCCAGGUUUACAGGUAUGUACCUAGGUUACUAUCAGGGCAUGGGCUCUGAGUUGCCCAGUGUGACUUCAGAGUGCAAGGUGAAAGCCAAUCAGAGUAAGAGUGGAUACUGAUGGGAUCACAGCAUCCCUUGAUGGAGAGCAGGCCAGCCCCAUAAAGACAUUCCCAUGACCAGCACCGUGUUGCCCAUGUACAAAGUGGCGCCACCGCUCUGAAUGGUGACGAUGAAUUCAGACAGCUGAUGCCCACUGAGCGCUUACUACGUGCCAAGACAGAGCCUAGUGCUUUCCACACCUUAUCUGGUUUAAUCCUCUCAACAGCCCUGAGAAGUAGAUGCUAUUCCCAUUGUUCCCAUUUUACAAACAGAGCACCCAAAGCUUGGAAACUUAUUCAAGGGCAGACCCAGCUGACCCGAAGUCAGAGCAUCUGGUCCCAUUACUGCAGAGAGGCAGCUCCUCAGGGGUGUGAAUCUGAUCUUAAUUGCAGAGCUGGGAGUGACCAAACAAGUUCUAUCACAUACCAUCCCCCACCCCCCCACCCCGCAAUGCCCUCUGGCUCUUGUAAGACUCCACAAGCACCUCCUACUGCUGGACGGAGGGAAGGAAGAGGAAGAGCCCAGCCCCACUCUGCUGAGCACCUGAGGUCCACUGGGUGGGUUGGCCUCUCCGGCCUUGAGCCAGUCCUGAUCCAGACCACGCUGCUGGGCAGCAUCUGGACUCAUGCUUGUGUUUGAAGCUGGGUGUUUCCCUGCCCCAGUAGGGAAAUCUUAGCUUGGGGCCUAGGCUGGGCCCAUGGCUGGACUGAGACAUUUUUGGAAACAAAAGUUCGAGCUAAUGGGUCUGGCCCCACCAGAAGCUAGUUGCAGAGUCCAAGAAACUUCUGGAAAAGUCCCCCUCGGCAGCAUGGCACCAGAGGAAGAGCUCAGGCUCUGGAAAACUAGGUUCUAAUCCCACGCCUGCCACUUCCUGUAGUGUGACACAGGGAAAGUUCAUUAAAGAUUCCCAAUCUGGGAAUGUAAGUUGGUACAGCCACUAUAGAAAACAGUAUGGAGGUUCCUCAGAAAACUAAAAAUAGAAUUACCAUAUGAUCCAGCAAUCCCUUCCUGAGCAUAUACCGGACAAAACAAUAAUUCAAAAAGAUACAUGCACCCCUAUAUUCGGAGCAGCUCUAUUCACAAUAGCCAAGACAUGGAAACAACCUUAAUGUCCAUUGACAGAUAAAUGGAUAAAGAAGAUGUCGUACAUAUAUACAAUGGAAUAUUACUCAGCCAUAAAACAGAACAAAAUAAUGCCAAUUGCAGCAACAUGGAUACAACUAGAGAUUAUCAUACUAAAUGAAGUUAAGUCAGAAGAGAAAGACAAAUACCAUAUGAUAUCACUUAUAUGUGGAAUCUAAAAUAUGGCACAAAUGAACCUAUCUACAAAACAGAAACAGACUCACAGACACAGAGAACAGACUUGUGGUUGCCAAGGAGGAGGGUGUUGGGGAGAGGGAAGGACUGGGAGUUUGGGAUUAGCAGAUGUAAACUAUUAUAUAUAGGAUGGAUAAACAACAAGGUUCUACUAUAUAGCAUAGGGAACUAUAUUCAAAAUCCUGUGAUUAAACCAUAAUGGAAAAGAAUAUUUUUAAAAAAAGAAUGUCUCUAUGUAUAUAACUGAUUCACUUUGCUGUACAGCAGAGAUUGGCACAACACUGUAAAUCAACUAUACUUCAAUUUUUAAAAAUUAAAAGAGAAAAAAAAGAUUCCCAACCUGGGACGGGAGUGAACAUGUCUACUAUGGUGGUUUUAAAAUACGUCUGCAGGGCUUCCCUGGUGCUGCAGUGGUCAAGAAUUUGCCUGCCAAUGCAGGGGACACAGGUUCAAUGCCUGGUCUGGGAAGAUCCCACAUGCCACGGAGCAACUAAGCCCGUGUGCCACAACUACUGAGCCUGCACUCUAGAGCCCGCGAGCCACAACUACUGAGCCCAUGUACUGAAGCCCAUGUGCCUAGAGCCCAUGCUCCAUAACAAGAGAAGCCACUGCAAUGAGAAGCCUGUGCACCACAACGAAGAGUAGCCUCCACUCUCUGCAACUAGAGAAAGCCUGCACACAGCAAUGAAGACCCAAUGCAGCCAAAAAUAAAUAAAUAAAUUUAAAAAUAAUAAUAAAAUAAAAUAUGUUUGCAAAUCCCUUGAUAUUCUUCCCUUCAAGAGGUGGACCCUAGUUCCCCUCCCCUUGAGUGUGGGCUGGACUUAGUGACUGGCUUCCAACUGAUAAAAUGAAGCAGAAGUACUGGUGCAUGACCUCGGAGACCUGGUCUUAAAAGGCACCAUGGCUUCCUGCCUGCUCCCUCUCUUGCCCUUGCAUCUCUCCCUCUAGUGGAAGCCAGCUGCCAUGUCAGGAAGAGAGGCACACUGGUGAAGGACUGAGGUCUCCAGCCAACAGCCAUAUGAGGGCACCAUCAUGGAAAAGGACCCUCCUGCCCCAGUCCAGCCUUCAGAUGGCAGCAGCCCCGGACAACAUCUUGACCACAACCUCAUGAAAGACCCUGAGCCAGAACCAGCUAGUGAAGCUGCUCCUGAAUUUCUGACCCGUGGAAAUGGUGACAUAAUCAAUGUUUGGUGCUUUUAGCCAGUACAUUGAGGGUAUUUUGUUACACAGCAGGAGAUUACAGAUAUAUACACUCAUCUCAAGUAUUUGUCAGGAUUCACUGGGAUAACAGACACGAAAUGCCAGGUACCUGAUGGAUGCUGAGUCUGAUUAGCUCCUUUCCACUCUGCGGUCUUGGCAGUCCCUUCCCCGUGGGGCUAAGGUUUGGACUGUGGGUUAUGCCCACUCAGGGGCCAGCCCUCAAGCAGGUCCCUGGCUUCUUUCCCUCCCCCC